UAGUCCUAGCUGUAAACGAUGAGCACUGGGUUGAGGGGACUCCCACAUCUUCUCGGCCGUAGCGAAAGCGUUAAGUGCUCCGCCUGGGGGAGUAUGGUCGCAAGGCUGAAAACUCAAAGGAAUUGACGGGGGGCUCACACAAGCGGUGGAGGAUGUGGCUUAAUUCGAGGAUACGCGAAGAACCUUAUCCUAGACUUGACAUGCUUGAGAGUCUCUAUGAAAGUAGAGAGUGCCCUUCGGGGAGCUCUUGCACAGGUGCUGCAUGGCUGUCGUCAGCUCGUGUCGUGAGAUGUCGGGUUAAGUCCUAUAACGAGCGCAACCCCUGUUGUUAGUUGCCAGCACAUUAUGGUGGGAACUCUAACAAGACUGCCGGUGCAAACCGUGAGGAGGGUGGGGGAUGGACGUCAAAUCAUCACGGCCCUUACGUCCUGGGGCUACACACGUGCUACAAUGGGUA
rnacentral:rRNA from 1 species